rnacentral:rRNA from 1 species
AUUGAACGCUGGCGGCAGGCCUAACACAUGCAAGUCGAGCGAGCGGCGGACGGGUGAGUAAUGUAUGGGGACCUGCCCGAUAGAGGGGGAUAACUACUGGAAACGGUGGAUAAUACCGCAUACUAUCGGAUGAACCCAUAUGGGAUUAGCGAGUGGGGGGGGUAAAGGCUCACCUAGGCGACGAUCUCUAGCUGGGCUGAGAGGAUGAUCAGCCACACUGGGACUGAGACACGGCCCAGACUCCUACGGGAGGCAGCAGUGGGGAAUAUUCGACAAUGGGCGAAAGCCUGAUACAGCCAUGCCGCGUGUGUGAAGAAGGCGUUAGGGUUGUAAAGUACUUUCAGCGGAGAGGCGUUACCCGCAGAGAAAGCACCGGCUAACUCCGUGCCAGCAGCCGCGGUAAUUC